rnacentral:lncRNA from 1 species
CAAAGGAUUUUUUGGGAAAGUUAAUUCAAUGUUUAUUGCGAUGUAAGAUAUGUGCGUAAUAGAAGGGGCCAGAUAUCCGUAGCGUGGAACAAAAGCCGCAAACGUCUUAUAUUUCCCAACGUAUGUUUUAUAUCACUUUGUAAGGAAAAUUAUUGAUUUUUGCUUUAUGUAGUUUAUAUGAUGUUAGUGUUACUUUAGAUUUGCUUCUUAGAUCUCAACUUUGGUUUUGUGUUUGAUGUCAAGUAGCUUCGCUUCUGUUGAACCUUGAUUAGUCAUCUGAACCAAUUUUUACUAUCAUGAUGCUUCUUUAUUACAUUUUUCUACAUGUAUGUUGUUGUAUUGUAUCAUGUCGCCUUUAGAUGUAUG